GGUAUUGUGGCUUAGCUGGCUAAAGUGCCUGUCUAGUAAACAGGAGAUCCUGAGUUCAACUCCCAGUGGUACCU